AGUGAACGCUGGCGGUAGGCCUAACACAUGCCAGUCGAACGGCAGCACAGUAAGAGCUUGCUCUUACGGGUGGCGAGUGGCGGACGGGUGCGGAAUACAUCGGAAUCUACUUUUUCGUGGGGGCUAACGUAGGGAAACUUCCGCUAAUACCGCAUACGACCUACGGGUGAAAGCAGGGGAUCUUCGGACCUUGCGCGAUUGAAUGAGCCGAUGUCGGAUUAGCUAGGUGGCGGGGUAAAGGCCCACCAAGGCGACGAUCCGUAGCUGGUCUGAGAGGAUGAUCAGCCACACUGGAACUGAGACACGGUCCAGACUCCUACGGGAGGCAGCAGUGGGGAAUAUUGGACAAUGGGCGCAAGCCUGAUCCAGCCAUACCGCGUGGGUGAAGAAGGCCUUCGGGUUGUAAAGCCCUGUUGUUGGGAAAGAAAAGCAGCAGGUUAAUACCCCGCUGUUCUGACGGUACCCAAAGAAUAAGCACCGGCUAACUUCGUG
rnacentral:rRNA from 1 species